GCAUGAAUUGUAAUAGUUCAGUGAUUCAUCUUCCUUGAAAAUGUGCUCUAUUACAUCAGUGAUUUCUAAUGAAAAAUUCAUUCUUCACACAUUGUGGUUAAGAAUCAUCAAAUCAGUACUGAAAAGACUUUGAUCAUAUUUGCAAGAUGCGCUAAGAUGAACUUUCACUGACCAAGAUUUCAAAGUUUGUAAUUAAUACUCUUGAAAAAUUCCCUGACUAAUCUGUCAACUCUCAAUAUCUUUAACCACACAGUUCAAAACCAUGAGACGGUAUAUACAGCCCUUGAACUUUCCACGUAUUGUCAUGCAAUUAUUCAAGGUGAUUUUCUCUUUGAGUUUGCAUUAUGCAACUCAUUCACCAGUGGGGGAAAGUCACUUUGAAUGAAGGUUGUGAGAGUAUGCAUUUGGUUUGUCUAGCAUUGAAUACACAGUUAAGGGCCUUAAGUAGAAAUUACAUGAAGCAGAUUCUAUUCAGUAUAAGAAAAACUUAAAAAAGCAAUCCAGUGUUUGGUGAAGAAGAGGUUUUCUUCAUUCCUGUCAUGAUCGUUGUCUCAAAGGGCCUCCAGUUUUUGUCUCACUGUGUUAAAGGCUCAGCUGCUUGAAGUAAUUCAGUCUCGAGGGUUUUAACUUCACUGGUGGAUUAAUCCACUGAUGAGAUCAGAAUUUGGUAGCAUUGUUGGGACAUGAUGAAAAUAGGUGGGGCCUCGUUGAAGGGAGUUAACCAUGGGGGCAUGACCUCAGGUACUAUGUGUGAUCCAGGACCCCUUCCUCUUUCCACUCUCUCUUCCUUCUUCCUGGCUACCAUGAGGUGAUGCUUUUAUUUGACAUUCUCUUCCAUCCUAACGCCUCAUGCUUGCAAUAGGCUUAAAAUCAAUGGAGCCAGCUGACCAUGCAACAAAACCUCUGAAGCCGUGAGCCAAAAUAAACCUUUCCUCUUUUAUCUCAGAUGUUUUGUCACAGUGUAUAUUAGUCACCUUCCUCAUCUCUGAGACAUACCUGACACUUGCAGCUUAAAGGAGGAGAGGUUUAUUUUGGCCAUAAUUUUUAGAAAUUUCAGUUCUUGCAUGGUCUGCAGCAUGGUGGAAGGGCCUGGCAUGGAGGAAAGCUGCUCUCAUGGAAGCAGCUAGAAAGCAGAGAAAGAAGGGAGGACCUGGGGAGGGAGAUACACCCUUCCAGGUCCCUCUCCAGUGACCCAGCCCUUGUAACCAUCUGCAGUUCCUACCAUCACAUUUAGCUGUCACACCCCAUGAUUCAAUCUACCCUUCAAAAGCCUGGCCUUUGAGCUCAUGAGGCUUGGAACAUCCAGAUAUAAACCAUAAAACAGUGACAAAAAGCUGACCAACUCAAGUGUUCUCAGAUGAUCUCCACCAAUGAUGUGUUAGAGAGGAACAAUAAACUGGCUGGGAAGACUAAAUGUUGACUCCAAGAUUGUAUCAUUCUUACAAUGGUCGUUGGACUCUGACUAUAGGAUCUCAGCCACCUCUGCCUGUGGAGGGUAAUAUAAUUAGCAUCCUUUUACUCCCAGAGUGUACUGGAGUCCUGUCUUGGGUUGGGUACUAUGCUGAGUGUAGGAGGUGUGAGUGUACACUGCGGGGAUAGGUUUCUUACAUCAUGAAGCUGUCAUGCAGUUUUGGGGUUUUUUUUUGUCAUGUGGUUAUAAAGACAUAAAAAUAUGAUCUCUUUAAUAUAAAACAUACUUGAGUAGCCAA
ensembl:lncRNA